UCCACUCUGUGUGUUGGCAAAGCGGUGUGUGUGUGUGCGGGGGCGGAGGGCUCUGGGGCCUGGGGAGCUGAUAGGGACUCAAGACCUGAGGUGCCCUGGACACACACACACACGGACACACACCCAGAUAGGAACCGUGGGUGGAAUGGCUCCAUUCUAUAGAUUGUGACCUCACUAAGGAUCAGGGCCUGACCUUUUAUGUGCGUGAGUGUGCGUGUGUGUGUGUGUCCUAUCAUAAGGGAACUAAGGAGUCACAAGGAGUCUCCUGUUUGUUCCCCGUCCAGAUGCCCAGGGACUCCUGCCCCCGUCGCUCUCUUCCGCCCCCUGUGCCAAAGCACACAGCAGAUAGUGGCCAAGACGACUGUCUGUCUGCUCAGAGUGUGGGAAACGCGCGGGCACAGGAACUAGAAACAGGAAAGACAAGCAAGAGACUUAAGGUUAACGAGGUCAUCAGGAACGACUUGUCCAGCAUCUCUGUCAAUACUCAUGCGUAGAAGCACACACACACAUAUACAUACACGCACACACAUACACACACACAUACACACAUCAGGGGACCAACAAGCAGAGCUGUCAGAGAAGAAGCUUCCAGAGAACCACAGACCUGCCACCCUCCGUCCGUCUGUCCAUCCAUCCAUCCCUGCUUUCUUUCCCGUCGGAUCCCUAACAGCAACUUGUGUAUCGUUGCAUAUCAAGAUUAACCCUCAGUGACCAGACACCGCGUUCACAUCUCUGUCCACGUCAGUAAAGGUUAUUGUUGAGGAGUUUAUUUAGAAGUGGCGCAUAAACCUGAGGAGACUAUUUUUACUUUUAUGCCUUAAAUGACAGUUAUCCUUACCUGGGGGAGGAACAACCCCUCGACCCCCCCACUCUUGGACACUCUUCAGAAUGUCUGGACUAGCCAAUGGAAUUGACCACUCCGGUCCUACUGCCCAAUCAUAGCGCAGCCUGCCCCAAGCCAUGCCUUAUAAGACCACUUCACUUGCCAUGAAUGACAAUCAGUCAAGUUUCAUAUCAGCCAGCUUAUUUUUUUAUUGUUAUAUUGUUGGAAUCAUUUCUGUUCUAGGUUUACAGGGAAAAGUGUCUGGAAUAUAUAGGGACAUGUGAAUAGAUUAGAUUUAUUGUAUUGGAAUUUUUAUUAUCAGAUUCAUUUAUACUGAAUGUCAUGUAUGAUAUGAUUGUUAUUAUUUUUUUGUUAUAAUUAUUGUUGCUACGAUGUAUUUGAAAUGUACUUCUAUCUAUGCCUUAAAGUUAAUAUGCAGUCUGCUCUUUAACUUGACAGUCUUCCUAUUAUAACCCAGUCUGUAGCGCUUUCCUUGUGCCCUUUCCUUUCCUCCUGUCACCUAGUGCCUAGACUUUUCUCCUCCUUCUAUAUCAUUCCGUCCAGCAGUCUCAGCAGCGUUCAGGCAAUCAUGGCAGAUGGCCAUCCAAAGAGACCCAGAGCUAGGAACUAAGAGCUAAGCUUUGAACUGUCGUUCUCACUGCCUUUUUCUAGAGCCUUCCACAUAGUCACAUCUGGACUAGGGACAGAGUCAGUGCCUGCUCUGCACAGGCUUGGCUUGUAAAUAUGCACACAAUGAAUUAAAUCAAAUCAAACUUUAUUUCAACUUGAUUUGAGUGUAUGACAAUCUUUGUAUGACCCCCCCCCCCCCCCCCCUCCCCACCCCUCUCCCAGCUGGUGUAAGAUAGUGUAGUGGAGAUGGAGGGAGGUUUGGGGUCUGACUUGCGAACCCGGCAAUAAUUGAUCUAUUUCAUACCAACGGAUUUUUACCCUUGGUGAAGUUAUUGCUCAGGGUCUCUCCUCCUAGUCUUCCUCUGUUUUGCCAGGAGCCAGUCCCAGGCCCCAUCAAUACAGAAUGCACUUUACCAUAGCAACGGCACCAGAACCCCUGUCUCCAUGACCACCCCUCCUCAGAAGAUCCUUUACCUGUGCCAGUAAAGACAGGAAGGAUCCCUAAUCUAGUCUGCAUGAUGGGAGCUCACCGACGGGUCUCCCGUGUCACUUCCUCUCUGUCGUCACGUUAUCUGUCGUCACGUCAACCGUAUGUAUAGGCCAUAGUAUGUUUUUUGUUGUUUUUUGUUGUUUUUUGAUCUCUGCAUGCACAGUACUAAUGUAAGGGUCUGAUUGAGCUCGGUUAGGUCGUUUGAUAGUGGCACGCCUUCGUGCAAGUGACUGUUAUACCGUGCCUUACUCAUUUGCUCAGCUACAAACAAGACUGUAUCUCUGACGCUUUCCUGUAAAGGCGCAAGGUAGAACACGUUUUUCUCUUUAAUAUGAAAUAUUUAUGGACAUUGAAAGGAUGUUUUUAUUUACACUCAAUGUGGGUUCUCCAAAAUGAUUUAAUAAAUGAGAGUUGAAAAA